AGCGUAGACGGACGGGCAAGUCUGAUGUGAAAGCCCGGGGCUUAACCCCGGGACUGCAUUGGAAACUGUCCAUCUUGAGUGCCGGAGAGGUAAGCGGAAUUCCUAGUGUAGCGGUGGAAUGCGUAGAUAUAUGGAAGAACACCAGUGGCGAAGGCGGCUUACUGGACUGUAACUGACGUUGAGGCUCGAAAGUGUGGUAGUAAACA
rnacentral:rRNA from 1 species